rnacentral:rRNA from 1 species
GACGAACGCUGGCGGCGUGCUUAACACAUGCAAGUCGAACGGAAAGGCCCUGCUUUUGUGGGGUGCUCGAGUGGCGAACGGGUGAGUAACACGUGAGUAACCUGCCCUUGACUUUGGGAUAACUUCAGGAAACUGGGGCUAAUACCGGAUAGGAGCUCCUGCUGCAUGGUGGGGGUUGGAAAGUUUCGGCGGUUGGGGAUGGACUCGCGGCUUAUCAGCUUGUUGGUGGGGUAGUGGCUUACCAAGGCUUUGACGGGUAGCCGGCCUGAGAGGGUGACCGGCGACAGUGGGACUGAGAUACGGCCCAGACUCGUACGGGAGGCAGCAGGGGGGAAUAGUGCACAAUGGGCGGAAGCCUGAUGGAGCAACGCCGCGUGCGGGAUGACGGCCUUCGGGGUGUAAACCGCUUUCGCCUGUGACGAAGCGUGAGUGACGGUAAUGGGUAAAGAAGCACCGGCUAACUACGUG